GUCCAGGAGAGCCUAGUGGACAUGGCAUCUGCCUGGUAAGCGAAACGCUGUGGGUUCGAUUCCCUGGACA
rnacentral:tRNA from 1 species